AGUGAACGCUGGCGGUAGGCCUAACACAUGCAAGUCGAACGGCAGCACAGUAAGAGCUUGCUCUUACGGGUGUCGAGUGGCGGACGGGUGAGGAAUACAUCGGAAUCUACUUUUUCGUGGGGGAUAACGUAGGGAAACUUACGCUAAUACCGCAUACGACCUACGGGUGAAAGCAGGGGAUCUUCGGACCUUGCGCGAUUGAAUGAGCCGAUGUCGGAUUAGCUAGUUGGCGGGGUAAAGGCCCACCAAGGCGACGAUCCGUAGCUGGUCUGAGAGGAUGAUCAGCCACACUGGAACUGAGACACGGUCCAGACUCCUACGGGAGGCAGCAGUGGGGAAUAUUGGACAAUGGGCGCAAGCCUGAUCCAGCCAUACCGCGUGGGUGAAGAAGGCCUUCGGGUUGUAAAGCCCUUUUGUUGGGAAAGGAAAGCAGCAGGUUAAUACCCCGCUGUUCUGACGGUACCCAAAGAAUAAGCACCGGCUAACUUCGUG
rnacentral:rRNA from 1 species